rnacentral:rRNA from 1 species
CCUACGGGUGGCAGCAGUGAGGAAUAUUGGUCAAUGGACGAGAGUCUGAACCAGCCAAGUAGCGUGAAGGAUGACUGCCCUACGGGUUGUAAACUUCUUUUAUAUGGGAAUAAAAUGUUCCACGUGUGGGAUUUUGUAUGUACUAUAUGAAUAAGGAUCGGCUAACUCCGUGCCAGCAGCCGCGGUAAUACGGAGGAUCCGAGCGUUAUCCGGAUUUAUUGGGUUUAAAGGGAGCGUAGGUGGGUUGUUAAGUCAGUUGUGAAAGUUUGCGGCUCAACCGUAAAAUUGCAGUUGAAACUGGCAGUCUUGAGUACAGUAGAGGUGGGCGGAAUUCGUGGUGUAGCGGUGAAAUGCUUAGAUAUCACGAAGAACUCCGAUUGCGAUGGCAGCUCACUAGACUGCAACUGACACUGAUGCUCGAAAGCGCGGGUAUCGAACAGGAUUAGAUACCCGAGUAGUC